UACGAAGGGGGCUAGCGUUGCUCGGAAUUACUGGGCGUAAAGGGCGCGUAGGCGGAUAGUUUAGUCAGAGGUAAAAGCCCAGGGCUCAACCUUGGAACUGCCUUUGAUACUGGCUAUCUUGAGUACGGGAGAGGUGUGUGGAACUCCGAGUGUAGAGGUGAAAUUCGUAGAUAUUCGGAAGAACACCAGUGGCGAAGGCGACUUACUGGACACAUAUUGACGCUGAGGUGCGAAAGCGUGGGGAGCAAACAGG
rnacentral:rRNA from 1 species